UCAAGUACUUUACUAUAGUAUGGUUCAAAAACAAUAUAGGCUAGUAUUUACUAUAAAUUACUAUAGUAUUUUUUAAUGUGGGUUAAUACACAUAAAUAUGUUCUUUAUUCUCACUGAAGUUACAGGAGUGACAAAGACAUUUACAGAACUUCUAGAACACAAGGAUAGGCCUAAUUAUAUCAGUUUUGUAACGGGUCUUUUAUACUUCGGGGGAACCGGAAGUGUUUUAUGUGUUUGUUGGUAUUUCUCGCUGUUGAAUGAGUGAAUCGAGUAGAACGUGCAGCCUGAACGUUCCAUGAGCCGCUUAUGACGUCACAGUGGAUGUUUGAACUGAAUCGUCGGUUAAACUUGUGCUGCUUCAGUCUCACAUCUGUAUCACAUCUGCUCUGCUGGAUUCUCCAGAAAUGUUUCUGCAAAGUCAGAGAUUUGCUGCUGAAAAGUGUUUAAGUGAUUGCUAAGGGCUGCGUUGAGCAAUUACUCUCAUCAGAGAGCAGGUAAGUGCAGUGGGAGAAAAGUAUUUCACUACAGCGGUGGAUUUCAGUCGGACCAGGAUUGAAAAACACUGCACUGAAGGAUGGAAAAAUACUAUAAGUAAGAGUUGUAGACCACAGGUAAGAGUAAUAUAGUACAGGUAUGUGUUGUACAGUAUAUGUAAGUGUUGUAUAUGUAAUUGUACAGGUAGGUGGCCUCAAUAGCCAUUUAAGUUUAACCUCAAAGGAUGCCGGACCACCAUUUUUACCUACAUCAGUGCUUCCCAAACCUGUCCUGGAGCCCCCAACACUACACAUUUUGUUUGUCUCUCUCAACAUACACACCUAAUUCAUCUCAUCAGCUUAUUUGUAGACAUUGUAAGAUCUGAACUGAGUUUGUCUGAUAACAGAGACACAUAAUGUGCAGUUGUGAGGUUCGCAGGACAAAUUUGACAAGCACUAACCUAUAAAUUUCUCAAUGCAAGGCCAUUAUUCAUAUUAGAGGCUUGAGGUUUGUCCUUGUGGUACCUGACUUGUCCACGGCUUCUGAGAUACAUGUGGUGGCUGUCACUUUCUGAGGUCACUGUGUUAGCCAACGCUUCCUGAGGUCUCUGUGACGGCCAAUGCUGCUUGAGGUCUCCCCUGUCAUGACCAAAGCUCCCUGAGGUCGCUGUCACGGGCUCAGUGCCUGAGGUCCCUUUCAUUUCCAGCCUCUAAUAUGUGAAAUUAGUAGUAUGUUUGUAUUCAGAGUAUUCUAAAUGAAAAGUACAUGGACAACCUACUUAUUUAUACUUUACAGAACAUCAUUUUCUAAUGGUCAUGAAGCAGCACAUGUUGUGGCUACUGCCCCUGAAGUCUCUUGUUGUGUCCCUAAUGAUGUUCACUGUGCACUUAUAGUACGUACUAAGUUUCUGCUCUCCGGAUUUUAAAAGGGUCGUAUCCUCUCAAACAGCACACUAACUUUUUUACUAACUGGAAGCUAGGGCUGGACGAUAUGGCCAAAAUUUAUAUAACGAAAUAUUUCUUAAUUUCGGUCGAUACGAUAUAAUUCCAAUAUCGAUAUGAACACUAUUAAAAAAAAGCCUCAUAAAAACUGCCAAGAAUGCCCACGACAGAUGUCUGUACCUACAAACUUAUGAAAAAUGGGGGGGGGAACAGCACAAAUAAAUUAAUGUUCACCUUUUAUUUGUAUUUAGCCUUCAUACAAACAAGAAAUGUGAAAUCACUGUCAAAUAAACAUCUCAGACUCACCUUAUUAAUAUUAAUAUCUUUAACUUCAAACUAUAGGCUAACACACAUUACCAGUCAAAGGUUUUUGAACAGUAAGAUUUUAUUUUUUUAAAGAAUUCUCUUCUGCUCACCAAGCCUGCAUUUAUUUGAUCAAAAAUACAGCAAAAACUGUAACAUUUUGAAAUAUUUUUACCAUUUAAAAUAACUGUUUUCUAUUUGAAAAUAUUUUAAAAUGCAAGUUAUUCCUGUGAUUUCAAAGCUGAAUUUUUAGCAUCAUUACUCCAGUCACAUGAUCCUUCAGAAAUCAUUCUAAUAUUCUAAUUUGCUGCUCAAAAAAACAUUUAUUAUUAUGUCGAAAACAGCGGUUUCCCCAGUAAUGGCUGUAAUCGAAGCAGCUCCGCUCAUGAACACUACUUUAUCAGAUAAAAUGAAAAUGCCAUCAAAACUAUUCUGAAGACAGUCGGUUCCCUUCAGAGAUAGGAAAAUUCAUAUAAAUCACCCGCGCCUCGUUUUGAUUUUGUUUAUUCAACGAAGUCAAAAGCCACAAAUAAAUCAAUGUAUUACACACUAGUAAUGUAUAUCGAAAUAUCGGAAAUGUGUUUAAAAAUCAUAUCACCGUUAUUGAAAAAAUAUAUAUCGCGAUACAUAUUGAUAUUGUAUUAUUGUCCAGCCCUACGGAAGCAUAUGCCGUUUCCCAGGUGAGGAGAAAUGACUAUAAAUGCACGUAAUGUUGCAUAAUGCACAUAAUUUCUACAUUUUACUGUUAAUGUUAAAAUAUCCUUUUAUUCCCAACAUAACCAGGCGUAAUAGUCAAACUUUGCCUCAGCUUUGUAAAAUCAGUGUAGUAAGUUGAUGUGGUUGUAGUUGUAUGUCUGCUGGCAAUGUAGUGUGUUCCUGAGUCCAUGUCAAAGUUACCUGUCCUUGAGCCAAUGCUAGAAAACACAGUACAAGAGCCACAGCGCAGGGCCCCCUCAGCGCCACAGUCCAGACAUCCCUCAGCGCCGCGGCCGCAGUACAGGCACCCCUCAGCGCUUCGGCGUCAGUCCAGGACCCCUCAGCGCCGCGGCCACAGGUGCCCCUCAGUGCACAAGUAAAGCCCAAGCAGCCCUCAGUUCGGGGCAAACAAAUCAGACCACAAACCACCACAGGACCAUCUCAAUGCCAUGGCCAACAUACAGGUGCAUUCAGGGCAGUUGCUAGGGGGGUUGCAGAGUACAGUUAAGGGUUGUAGAGUACAGUUAAGAGUUGUAGAGUACAAGUAAGUCCUGUGAAAUACAAGUAAAAGUUGUAGAGUACAGGUAAGUCCUGUGAAAUACAAGUAAGAGUUAUAGACUAAAGUAAAGACUUCUAGACUAAAGGUAAGUCCUGUGAAAUACAGGUAAGAGUUGUAGAGUACAGAUAAGUGCUGUAGAAUACAGGUAAGGUUUGUAAAGUACAGGUAAGGGUUGUAGACUAAAGGUAAGAGUUGUAGACUAAAGUUAAGUCCUGUAGAAUACAAGCUAGGGUUGUAAAGUACAGGUAAGAGUUGUAGACUAAAGGCAGGAGUUGUAGAGUACAAGUUGGCCUCAAUAGCCAUUUUAGAAUUGGGAGGUUAUUUUGUUAAUUAUCAUCUAGUAAUAAAUGUUAUAAAUUGAACAGGCAGUAUUUUAAAUGCGCCGGCCAGAGGAGGAUGGGUCCCCCUGCUGAGUCUGGGUUCCUCCCAAGGUUUCUCCCUGCAUUUAAUUUUGUAGGGAGUUUUGCCUUGCCACUGUCGCCUUUGGCUUGUUCACUGGGGGUUUAAGGCACUGUAAUACUGCCUUGAGUUUCUAUCACUUUCUGCUUCUUUGAGGUGCCUCCGUUAAGGCCUGUUUAUAACCGCCAAUACUUAUUGCAAUAUACAGUAACAUCAAAUAAUAGAAAAAAGAUCUGCACACUGUUAAUCUCCCUUUAUUAAAAUUUAAUAAAUUUAAUAGUGGCAACGUUUCGGUCAAAGACCUUCGUCAGGCAAACAAGUCAUGUUUUGCGAAGGGGUCAAAUACUUAUUUGACUCAUUAAAAUGCAAAUCAAUUUAUAACUUUUUUGAAAUGCGUUUUUCUGGAUUUUUUUUGUUGUUGUUGUUGUUAUUCUGUCGCUUGCUGUUAAAAUAAACCUACCAUUAAAAUUAUAGACUGAUCAUUUCUUUGGCAGUGGGCAAACGUACAAAAUCAGCAGGGAAUCAAAUAAAUUUUUUCUCCACUGUAACUAACGUAAUGUUGAAAAAUAACAUUACUAUAACGUAGUAACAUAUACAGCAUGACUAGUGUCCAAUUCACAAGCAAAUGACUCUUAUGAUCUGGUUAUUUUAAUGACCACAAUGAGCAACAAUGUCAGAGCCGCAGCCUAAGGCUGAUGAUACACAAGUCAACAUUUUGAGCAAUUUUGCCGUGCAACUUUUUUUUGAGCAAUGUUUGGGCACUUUCCCAUUGAGAAUGGGUAACAAAUUUCUAUCUGGAUACUUUAGAUCGGUCGUGGGCCCUGUGUCUCACCUGGUUGCCCGUUGGCAGCAACAUUGCCCAAAGUUGCCCCGUGUAUCAUCAGCCUAAGAGCCUCAUCGUCUCAGUACAGCUCCAGCUCCGGUCUACAGCCGUGAUCCCGAUCCACCGCAGCGACAUAUCCAGUAUCAUAUUACAGCAAUAAAAUAAACAAUGCAAACAUA